rnacentral:lncRNA from 10 species
AACAGUUCUGCUCAUCUGGACAUGCACCAAUCUUCAUUCCUAAGGAGUCUGAGCCCUGGUGACCAUGCCCUUCUUGGGCCAGGGCUGCUAUAUUUGUCCAUUCACAGCUACAAUUAGACAAGGGGCACGAAGGACACCAAAAAUGUGUCCUCUGGGUUCCACACAUAUCCUUCCUGCCCCUACUGUGGAACAGCAGCCUUACCUACCUGCUGAUCAUGGUCAAUUAACCCUGCCAACACAGGGGCUCCUGCUGCUCCCUAGACAUAAGGAGUCAAAGGUGCUCAGGUGUCAGUCCUAACUUAUAGUUUAACAAUACACUUGCUUUUUCCUUUGGCAAAAGUGCACCCCCUUACCGGACCAGGGCCUCCAACCCCCCCAAAGUUGCAGGGAUGAAGAGAAUAAAAUUCUCCAGUGAGUCACUGAAGUGCAGCUACUGCAUCCUGAAGGAUGGCACCCCAUGCUUGCAGACAAUUGCCCCUGAGCUGGUGCCUCAACUGCACCUCCAGUAGUAUACUUCAAUUCUACCAACCUGGCUGCCUCUGGAGGGUGAGAGUGUAAUACAACCAGUCAAUCUCAUGGGCACGGGCCCACUCCUGCACAUCUUCACUAUAGUGUGGCUCUGCUCUUUGGACAAUCUGAUUUAUGGGAUUCUGUGCCUGUGCAUCAGGCACUCUGUUCCUGUGGGAACAAAUCUCUGGCUCCUCCAGGAUGAAAGGGGCUCAAUAAAGUCAACUUGCCGCCGAGUGGCUGAUCGGUUUCCUCAAGGAAUAGUGUCAUAUUGGAGGCUCAGUGUUGUUCUCUGCUGUGAGUAGAUUAGCUAUGCCAGGGGCCAAUAUUUAAAACUGUCUUGGUAAGUGGGAGUCCGUGCUGUUGUUCCUUGCAUGGCCCCCAUCUCUGCCACUGUGUCCACUUUGUUCAUGAGUCCAUUGUGCCUGUUGUGGGGUGGCUGGUGACAAAAACUGGCUAAUGUCAACCAGUCAAGUCAUUUUGCCUACUUUGUUGUUCAGUCUCUCUUCCGGGGUGGACACUUCUUAAUGGACAUUACAUGUGAUACAAAAAUAACAAGUAGUAUUUACUCCCUAUACCGAUUUAUAUGCCUCUAUCCCAUAUCUCCUUUGUCUCAGGUAUUCUAGUACAUUCAGAGUCCUGGCUAGCUAGCCAGGCCAUUCACCACUGCUCAUAACUCCAUAUAUAUAUGCACCUUACUCCUCCUUCCACACAAGGUGGAUGACCAAGUGUGCUACUCAAAGUGCUGCCAAUGGGAAGAUUUUUCAUUGCUGCUCUUUCAAGGCCACCACUGAGUGUGGCUAGAAAGCAGCCACCAUCUAUUUUACCAAAAUGGCAGGACUCUGCAUCUUCAUAGGGUUUAUCUCCCACCCUCUCCAGCAUGCUUGUUUUACCCAGGCCUCCAGUGUCUGGGUCAUACUGAGGAGCACCUCUUACUCCUCCUGCUGAGUCAGCAUGAUGUCAUCAGCAUAAUGGAUCACUGUGAUACUCUGCAGGAUGCUCAGAUAGUUUGAAUCUGUUCAGAUUGUUAUGACAGAGGGCAGGAGAAUUAGCAUAGCUCUAAGACAAAAGUGUAAAUAAUAUUGUCCAUUCCAUAGGAAUGCAAAUUAUUUCUGAUUUUCUUUUGUGAUUAGCUUAAAAAUAAGUAAAUUCCCCCCAUUUAACAGCCAUAUAUCGUGUAGGUGAGGUCUUACUAAUUUGCCCUGGCAACAAUACUGCGCCUGGCACUGCAGCUGUAACUGGGGCUACUGCUUGGCUGAAUUUGCAAUAAUAUGCAGUCAUUCUCCAUAACUGUCAUCUAGUCUCUGUGCCCUACUGGCUAAUGGAGAGAUGUGAUGAGGAAUAGAAACCACCACUCCUGCAUCCUUUAGAAUUUUAAGAGUGGCACUAGUCUUCCCCAUCAACUCCCUAGAAUGUGAUGUUGUCUUUGAUUUAUCAUCUUGGUUGAUGGGGGAACAGGAAUGUGGAGAGGUAGCUUCAGGUGCUCCAACCUUGCCUACCCGACCAUGAUAGCUCUUAUUCCACAGGCCAAGGACUUGGGGGUUACUCCAACUGCCAAGUACGGAUGCUCCUCAACUUAUGAUGGUGUGACCUCCCAAUAAACACAUAGUAAGUUGAAAAUAUUCUGUCAAAAAUGCACUUAAUACACCUAACCUACUGAACAUCAUAGCUUAGUUCAGCCUCCCUUAACCAUACUCGGAAGACUUCCAUUAGCCUGCAGGUGGGCACAGUCAUCAGGCAGCACAAUACACUGUAGAUCUCACUUGUUUAUCCUUGUGAUGCCAUGGCUGUCUGGGAGCUGCGGCUCGUUGCCACUGCCCAGAAUCACAAGAGAGUAUCCUAUGACAUAGCACUAGCCCAGGAAAAGAUCAAAAUUCAAAAUUUGAAGUACAAUUUGUACUGAAUGAGUAUCGCUUUCACACCACUGUAAAGUGAAAGAAUUCCAAGCGAACAAUGGUAUGUUAGGGAGUGUCUGUGUGUCCAUCCCAAUCAUGCAUUCAGGGGCUGCGGAAAUGACAUAGGUGGUCUUGAUUAGUGAAGCCGUGAGGAGCAGUGAAUUUUCCUGCUCACGUCCUCCAACAAGGCACGCAUUCACUUGACUAAGAAUAUAAGGCUCUCUUUGGGGCAGUACAGGCAAGCACUUAAGCAGGCUUUAAACAGGGCACUUUGUGAAGAGGGUGGAGGGAUAUUUUUUCAGGGAGAGCAAGAAAAAAAAUAUUCUCAAUAUCCAAGAUAGGACGUCAAGCUGAAGUAGAGGCAAGGAAAAUCCAGGAUGCUCUCCAAUUUUCUGAAAGAAAGAAUCUAUGCCUUGAUGGGUCUACAUUUGGUUAGUUUUAUUUAGAGGUACUUGACAGAUUAUGGUACCAUUGCAAAUGGUAUCCUUUUAAAAAUUCCAUUUUCUGACUGUUCUUGGUAUUUAGAAAGUGAUUUUAUUUUAUUUUAUUUAUUUUGAGACAGAGUGUCACUCUUGUUGCCCAGGCUGGAGUGCAAUGGCGUCAUCUUGGCUCACUGCAAUCUCCUCCUCCCGGGUUCAAGCGAUUUUCCUGCCUCAUCCUCCUGAGUAGCUGAGAUUACAGGCACAUGCCACCACACCAGUCUAAUUUUUGUAUUUUUGGUAGAGACAGGGUUUCACCAUGUUGGUCAGACUGUGAAUGAUAAAUUUUAUCAAAGGAUGUGUGUAUCUAUUUAAAGGAUGAUAUGACUUCUUCCUUCUUCUGUACAUGUGGUGACUAUACUGAUUUUCUCUUUCUUCUUUUUAAAGCACGUGAUCUUUUUCUGACCAUCAAUGCUUUCAGUCCUCUUUGAGGAAUUCCUUUUCAUUGUGCAUUCUCUUAAAGUCACUUUACAUUAUCACCUUAUUUUAAUUGUUAAUUUCCUUCACAUCAGUAGCCAUUUUACAUUUUGUUAUUUAAAUUUUUCCUUCUCCAGGAAAAUCCUUAUAAAUUUUUUUCUAUAUAUUUUUCUCCAAGUUUUUAUGCUAAAAAAUUUCAAAGCUUCAGUGAAGUUUCACAUCAUAUCCUUCACCUGAAUUCACCAAUUGUUCAUAUUUUGCCCCACUUGCUUUACUAUCUAUGUACACACACGUGUACGCACACACACACACACACACACACACACAGUUUGGGUUUUGGCUCAGCCAUUAGAACCAUUUGAGAUUUGUUUUUGGCUGAGCUAUUUGAGAUUUAGUUGCAGACAUCAAGGCAAUUUAUCCCUAAAUAUUUCUCUUUGGGAUCAGGUGUGAUGACUCACACCUGUAAUCCCAGCACUUUGGAAGGCGAAGGGGAGAGGAUUGCUUGAGUCAGGAGUUCAAGGCCAGGCUGGGCAGCAUAAUGAGACCCUGUCUCUACAAAAGGAGACAGACAGGACAACAUGGCAGAGGGGACAGCACAGGGGAGAGCACGGUCUUUGUCUCUCCCCAAAACAAGGAGUAUUCCUCUUCGUCUCCCCUAAAAACAAGGGCAUUCUCCUACAAAUCAAUGAUCAUAUUUGGAACAUUUAACAUUAAGUUAUAUUAUCUAAUGUAUAAUUUAUAUUAAAUUUCCUAAAUUGUGUCAAUAAUGUCCUUUGUAGCCUUUUUUAAAAAUUCAGAAUCCUCUCUAGGAUCCCGCAUAGUAUUUAGUUGUUGCUUCUGUUCAUUCUCCUUUAAUCCAGAAUAUUUUUCUAUCUUUUUUUCUUUCAUCACAUAGAGAUUUUUUAGGAGUCUAAGAUAGUUGUUUUGAAAAAUGCCAGUGUGAAUUUAAUUUUUCUCAUGAUUAAAUUCAGAUUAAACAUUUUGGGCAGGAAAAUUACAUUAAUGAUGUACACAAAUGGAUUUUCAAAUGCUAAACUAGCCCGAAAUUAACCCACUUGGUCAUGAUGCAUUAUUACAUAUACAUGUGGUAUGCAAGGAUUUUGUUUAGGAUUUACACAUCUGUGCUCCCGAGUGAGACUAGCCUGAAAAUUUUCUCUCUGAUAAUGUCCUUUUCAAUUUUUAGUACCAGGGUUAGGCUGGCCUCAAAAAACAAAUUCUACUUUUCUAGUCUCUGAAAGUAUUUGUGAAUAUUAGCAUUGUUUAUUCCUUAGAUGUUAGGUGAAUUUACUGAGUGGUCAUUUGAGGCUGGUAUUUUCUUUGUGAGAAGGUCUUAAAUUAUCAAUUUAAUUGAUUUCUUACUGCAUUCUGGUCAGAGAACAUACUCUGUGUGCUAUCAUUCCUUUGAAAUUUGUUGAAACUUAUUUUGUGACUCAGCAUGUGGUCAAUUUUGUUAAGUGUGUUAUGUGUACUUGAAAAGAGUAUGAAUUCUCUGUUCUAUAUGUGUCAUUAAGUUUUCGAUCAUGUGCAAACCUUCUAUAUAUCUUUAUUGGAAUAUUUGUUUGCUUGUCUAUAAGUUACAGAGAGAUAAGUGUAAAAGUCUCCCAUAAUACGCAUGACUUUUGUAUUUCUCUGUAGUACCAUCAGUUUUUGCUUUAUAGGAUUCAGAGUAUGUUACUACAUGCAUACAAAUGUAUGAUUAUUAAAUAUUCCCAAAGAAGAGACUUUUUACUCUUUUAUUGCCAACUUUUCUAUAUCCAUGAGUUUAGAUAGGCAUCUUUUUUUUUUUUUUUUUAGACGGAGUCUCGCUCUGUCACCAGGCUGGAGUGCAGUGGUGCUAUCUCAGCUCACUGCAAACUCCGCCUCCCAGUUUCGAGCAAUUAUCCUGCCUCAGCCUCCU